AUAGUCAGUACAAUAAGAUAUAAAUAGAAACAAUAAAAAGUUAAAAAGCAGGAGAACGAAAUUAAGAGACAGGAUCUCACUGUGUUGCCCAGCCUGGAGUGUAGUGGUGUGAUCACAGCUCACUGUAGCCUUGAAAUCCUGGUCUCAAAUAAUCCUCCAGCCUUGGCCUCCCAAAGUACAAGAAUUACAGGCAAUGAUCACUGCACCUGGCCUGGCUCCAUUUUUAAAUUUGUCAAGAGAUUACGACCAAGAAAAUUUAGAAUGAUUUACCAUUCUAAAUAUAUAAAAAUAUUAUGUAUUCUCAUGCAAUGUAUCUACUCUACAAAAGAGACACCCUCACCCACAGACACACACACACUCACACUCACUCUUAUCUUUACUUCCACUAAAACACACUCGUCUCAAUUUUAACAAGUUGGUAUCUCCAGUAGAAAGA
rnacentral:lncRNA from 1 species